rnacentral:rRNA from 1 species
AGUGAACGCUGGCGGUAGGCCUAACACAUGCAAGUCGAACGGCAGCACAGUAAGGGCUUGCUCUUACGGGUGGCGAGUGGCGGACGGGUGAGGAAUACAUCGGAAUCUACUUUUUCGUGGGGGAUAACGUAGGGAAACUUACGCUAAUACCGCAUACGACCUACGGGUGAAAGCAGGGGAUCUUCGGACCUUGCGCGAUUGAAUGAGCCGAUGUCGGAUUAGCUAGUUGGCGGGGUAAAGGCCCACCAAGGCGACGAUCCGUAGCUGGUCUGAGAGGAUGAUCGGCAAACUGGAACUUGAGAAACGGUCCAGACCCUUAGGGGAGGCAGCGGGGGGGAAUAUUGGCAAAUGGGGGAAAGCCUGAUCCAGCCAUACCGCGUGGGUGAAGAAGGCCUCCGGGUUGUAAAGCCUUUUGUUGGGAAAGAAAAGCAGCAGGUUAAUACCCCGCUGUUCUGACGGCACCCAAAGAAUAAGCACCGGCUAACUUCGUG